AACGAACGCUGGCGGCAGGCCUAACACAUGCAAGUCGAGCGCCCCGCAAGGGGAGCGGCGGACGGGUGAGUAACGCGUGGGAACGUACCCUUUGCUACGGAAUAGCCUCGGGAAACUGGGAGUAAUACCGUAUGUGCCCUUCGGGGGAAAGGAUUUAUCGGCAAAGGAUCGGCCCGCGUUGGAUUAGGUAGUUGGUGGGGUAAUGGCCUACCAAGCCGACGAUCCAUAGCUGGUUUGAGAGGAUGAUCAGCCACACUGGGACUGAGACACGGCCCAGACUCCUACGGGAGGCAGCAGUGGGGAAUCUUAGACAAUGGGCGCAAGCCUGAUCUAGCCAUGCCGCGUGAGCGAUGAAGGCCUUAGGGUUGUAAAGCUCUUUCAGUGGGGAAGAUAAUGACUGUACCCACAGAAGAAGCCCCGGCUAACUCCGUG
rnacentral:rRNA from 1 species